UAGAGAAGUUAACAUUUGUACAAACUCAAAUGAUUUAUUAAUCAUUGCAAUUAAUAAAUUACCACAUGGAAAGCUAAGAUCAUCGAUGGACAACAGACUUUCCUCUGUACCCCAGGAAAAUUUGCAGCCUUUCAUUAUAUAAUAUGGAUGAUUACAUAAUCAUAAAUAGAAUUGAGAUGAUAAUUUUAUAGAAAACAGAACUAAAGUCACUUGAAGGAGAUUAAUGGAUAUUUAAGAAAUGAUCCAGCAGUAAAGGAUAGCUACUAUCGUAAUGAUCGAAGAGCAAGAAAUCCAUGUUAGAAAAGACUCGCAUAAUUCCAAGAAAAGAACCACUAACAUCGUCAUACAUAACAGCGUUCUAGUUGUG